rnacentral:rRNA from 1 species
CCUACGGGAGGCAGCAGUGGGGAAUAUUGCACAAUGGGCGAAAGCCUGAUGCAGCAACGCCGCGUGAGCGAUGAAGGCCUUCGGGUUGUAAAGCUCUGUUCUUAAGGAAGAUAAUGACGGUACUUGUGGAGGAAGCCCCGGCUAACUACGUGCCAGCAGCCGCGGUAAUACGUAGGGGGCUAGCGUUAUCCGGAAUUACUGGGCGUAAAGGGUGCGUAGGUGGUUUCUUAAGUCAGAGGUAAAAGGCUACGGCUCAACCGUAGUAAGCCUUUGAAACUGGGGAACUUGAGUGUAGGAGAGGUGAGUGGAAUUCGUGGUGUAGCGGUGAAAUGCGUAGAUAUUAGGAAGAACACCAGUUGCGAAGGCAGCUCUCUGGACUGUAACUGACGCUGAGGCACGAAAGCGUGGGGAGCAAACAGGAUUAGAUACCCCGGUAGUC